rnacentral:misc_RNA from 1 species
GAUGAAGAACGUAGCGAAAUGCGAUAAGUAAUGUGAAUUGCAGAAUUCAGUGAAUCAUCGAAUCUUUGAACGCACCUUGCGCUCUUUGGUAUUCCGAAGAGCAUGCCUGUUUGAGUGUCAUGAAAAUAUCAACCUUGACUUGGGUUUUGUGCUCUAGUCUCGGCUUGGUAUUGGGUGCUUGCCGCUUUUACGAGCGGCUCACCUUAAAUGUAUUAGCUGGAUCUGUCUUUGAGACUUGGUUUGACUUGGCGUAAUAAGUAUUUCGCUAAGGACAUUCUUCGGAGUGGCCUCGUUUCUAGGACGCUUGUCCGCUUUCCAAUACAAGUUCCACCUCGUGGACAUGACUUUUUAUUAUCUGGCCUCAAAUCAGGUAGGACUACCCGCUGAACUUAAGCAUAUCAAUAAGCGGAGGA